AAAGUCGUAACAAGGUUUCCGUAGGUGAACCUGCGGAAGGAUCAUUAAAAAAAUAAGAGGAAUUUUCAUAUUCUCAAACCCCUGCAGUGUACUUGUUCUUGUUGCUUCCGUGGGCAGUAGGCCUUGCGCUUGCGACCACUUUCACGGUGGACCUGCGGGAGGUUAUCAAAAACUUCUUCUAUAUAUGGUAUCUGUCUGAGCUUGUUUAGUUCAUAAACGUUAAAACUUUCAACAACGGAUCUCUUGGUUCUC
rnacentral:misc_RNA from 1 species